GUGCCAGCAGCCGCGGUAAUACGAAGGAUGCAAGCGUUAUCCGGAUUCACUGGGUUUAAAGGGUGUGCAGGUGGGGUAAUAAGUCAGUGGUGAAAGCCCCCGACUCAAUCGGGGAACUGCCAUAGAUACUGUUAUUCUUGAGUGUGGUUGAGGCGGAUGGAAUAUGACAUGUAGCGGUGAAAUGCUUAGAUAUGUCAUAGAACACCGAUCGCGAAGGCAGUCCGCCAAACCAUUACUGACACUGAAACACGAAAGUGCGGGGAUCAAACAGGAUUAGAAACCCUCGUAGUCC
rnacentral:rRNA from 1 species